GACGAACGCUGGCGGCGUGCUUAACACAUGCAAGUCGAACGGAAAGGCCCUGCUAUUGUGGGGUGCUCGAGUGGCGAACGGGUGAGUAACAGGAAAGUAACCGGCCCUUGAUUUUGGGAUAGCUUAAGGAAACGGGGCUUAAGCCAGUAUAGGAGCUCCUGUUGCAGGGUGGGGGUGGGAACGUUUCGGCGGUUGGGGAUGGAUGCGCGGCUUAUCGGCUUGUUGGUGGGGUAGUGGCUUACCAACGCUGUGACGGGUAGCCGGCCUGAGAGGGUGACCGGCCACAUUGCGACUGAGAUACGGCCCAGACUCCUACGGGAGACAGCAGUGGGGAAUAUUGCACAGUGAGCGGAAGCCUGAUGCAGCAACGCCGCGUGCGGGAUGACGGCCUUCUGGUUGUAAACCGCUUUCGCCUGUGACGAAGCGUGAGUGACGGUAAUGGGUAAAGAAGCACCGGCUAACUACGUG
rnacentral:rRNA from 1 species